rnacentral:rRNA from 1 species
AUCUGGGCGGCGGAAUUCAGGAUGGCGGGCGCGUUUCGCGUCGGUCGUUUGAUAUUUCCGUCGCCAACACACGCAGACGUCGCGACCUGUUCGCGGUCGGUCCUUGCUCCGGAGGGGCCGCGUUCGAGUUUGUUGUGUACGCGUUUCGGCGCGUUUCACGGCGAAGGCGUGGAUCUCUGGCUGGCCGUCGGACAGUACGUUCAGCGGUGUCCGGUGCGGUCGUAUUCGUACGCGCUUGCGCCGGUACCGGUCGGCGACGAAUUCUUCGGGCCUCUUUCCGACCCGUCUUGAAACACGGACCAAGGAGUCUAACAUGCGCGCGAGUCGCGGGGUGUCGAGCGUACUUCGGUGCGUUCGUUAUGUUUUGCGAAACCCGUACAUGUCGAAGGCGUAAUGAAAGUGAAUGGGGAAGAUGGUGUUUCCGAGUACACGUUCCGCGAUCGUCGGUAUCGCGGCCGGACACCCGCAUUCCCGGGGCGUCUCAACGGCCCGUCGCGGAUGCGGAUCGUCGCCUCUCGGGGUGGCGAUCGGUCUGCGACGAACCGA